UGUUCCUCCCCAAAUACAUCAAACCUUCAAAUUGUCAUAUCUCUCUCGUUUCUGAACGGAAUUGAGCGAUUCUCGCGGCCACGGAACGAGAAAAGGAUUCUCUACUGGAUUAUGAAUUCAAUUUGAGAUGAUAUUGAGCUUGUGAGAAGGAUUCUCAUAAUGAUUUGGAGGCUAAUAUCAAUAGGCUUCGAGGAACCAUCAAGGGUUCGACAAGGCAACCUAAUAGAUGACAAGAAGCUCAGGGAGCUUACGCUAUAACUAACGACAAUUUUGGAUAAGCAAGAAUGUUUGCUUUCAGGUACCUAGACUAUGGACUUGGCUAGAAGUCCAUUCUUUGAUCGGAAGUAAAUCUUGACGUGUGCAGUCCAGACUUCCGUAGUUGCUGCAGUAGUUUCUUGUCUGACCAGAGUUGUAGUCUAGUACAACAUUUUGAUACAACGUCGGUUCUCAUUUGAUGUCUUCGUAGUUAUAUAUGUUUUGUACACGGAAGGUGAAUAACCAUGAUGAUAUGAUUUUGAACACUAGUAUGUAUCAGGCUAGUACGUAUAUGAUAUGGAAACAGUAAGCCCAAGUAUUUUGUGUCAAUAAGUUACUAGUGUAUAAAGAUGUGUAUACGUAUAUGCUUCCGCUAUAAUACCAAUGUAUGAUUGA